UUACGGUCAUAUCACAGUGAAACACCUGUUCCCGUACGAUCAGCGAAGUUAAGCAACGUCGAGACUGGCUAGUUCCUAAAUGAGGGAUCGCUUUGGAAUACCAUGUGUUA